GGUUGUAUAGUGUAGCGGUUAUCACACCAGAUUCUGACACUCGUUCAGUCAAGUCAGGUCCUUCUGGUAACCCCGGUUCGAUUCCGGGUACGACCU